rnacentral:rRNA from 1 species
AUGGCCACGGCGCACUACUACCCGCCGCCGCCGCCGCCGAUCGCCCACCCGCUUCCAAGGCCGCACGCCGCCGACAACGCCGUCCCCGACGACGGCGGCAGCGACAGCGAGAGCGUGGCGGAGUCGUCGUGCCCGCACCAGCACCCGCGCCGGCCGACGGCCAGGGACGAGGAGGAGGAGGAGGACGGGUGCAGCGGCAGCUGCGUGGAGGCGGACGAGUACUGGGGCUACUACUACCAGCAGCAGCAGCAUCCGCAGGAAGCCGACGACGAGGAGGAGGUCAGCACGGCGAGCGUCUGGUGGAAGAAGAAACGGGCAGCGGCGGCGGCUGGUAGGGCCGGCGGCGUGUUCCCUUCGUCUUCGUCGGCUGCGGCCCGUCGUGAGGGGGAGGAGAAGAAGGCGGAGGACCCGAAGCGGGCGGCGGCGCGGCAGGAGGAGGACCGCAAGUUCUGGGCGGACUGCCUCGCCACCGGGUACCCAUGA